rnacentral:rRNA from 1 species
AUUGAACGCUGGCGGCAGGCCUAACACAUGCAAGUCGAGCGGCAGCAUGACCUUCGGGUUGAUGGCGAGCGGCGGACGGGUGAGUAAUGCGUAGAAAUCUGCCCAUUUGUGGAGGAUAACCUGGGGAAACCCAGGCUAAUACUGCAUAAUCUCUACGGAGGAAAGCGGAGGAUCUUCGGACUUCGCGCAGAUGGAUGAGUCUACGUCUGAUUAGCUAGUUGGUGGGGUAACGGCCUACCAAGGCGACGAUCAGUAGCUGGUCUGAGAGGAUGAUCAGCCACACCGGGACUGAGACACGGCCCGGACUCCUACGGGAGGCAGCAGUGGGGAAUAUUGGACAAUGGGGGAAACCCUGAUCCAGCCAUGCCGCGUGUGUGAAGAAGGCCUUAGGGUUGUAAAGCACUUUAAGCAGGAAAGAAAAGCGCCGGGUUAAUACCCCGAGCGUAUUGACGGUACCUGCAGAAUAAGCACCGGCUAACUCCGUG